AUGAGUUACCCUUCCUUUUGGGUCACGAUGUCUACGGCUAGCCAAGGGUCUUUGGAGCACAGUGAUCAUUGCUCAUCCCUCAGAAGGAAUGGCUUCAGUCUGCUUUAAACACUGGGCCACACCCAAAAUUUCUACACUUAACCUCUGUGUUUAUAUGAAGACCCAAAUCCUGUGUGAGUAAUAUUCAAAAUUAUUUUCUUGUUUUGUUCAAUGAUGCUCUAUGUUAUUAUAGAGUAUAGCAUGUAUCUUAGCAAGGGAUUUGGUUAUUCCAAAUAACAAAAUAUAAUCAGAGGUACAUUUAUUGUUUUGAAUUAAUGUGUUAAACGACAAACAUACACAAAUUCCUAGAGAAGAGGAGGCUAAUAUGGACCAAUGAUGACCAAAUCUGGGUUGGCAAUAUAAGUCACGGACGAUGACUACAAUUCUGGUGUCUGAGGUUCACAUCACCACACAUCCUAUGUGCCCUUCUUAGCCAGGAGAUACAUGUUAGGCAUAUGGAGCACAUACUGUCCAUUAGAAUCAGGCACUUUCAUGCAUUUUCUUAGUAGAUAAAUGAAACAUGAUAUAAAUAUUCACACAAAUAUAAAUGAUAAUAAAAAUUUCCAGCAUUGAUCAAGUAGUAAGUAAACAUGAUACUAUUACUAAUGCAGAAAUUAUGGAAAUCUGUUAAUAAAUAAUUGGCAUAAAGAUGUAUAUAAACUUUAUCCAAGUUCACAAAUGAAGUAUACUUAAUGGAUAUAACCCCAGUGGCAUUCAAGAUCUUAAUUUGAAAUCUCACUUGAUCUCUUAAGGCACCAUCACAACAACGAGAAUCCUAAAUAACAAAUAUUGAAAGGAGAAAUGUAGAAAUAAUUUGUUAGACCCAGGCAGAGGUGGUGCAAGCCUUUAAUCCCAGCACUUGGGAGGCAGAGCCAGGUGGAUCUCUGUGAGUUCAAGGCCACCCUGGUCUACAGAGCAAGAUCCAGGACAGGCACCAAAACAACACAGAGAAACCCUGUCUCAGGAAAGGAAAUAAAAAAGGAAAAAAAAGAAAUAAUUUGUAAAAUAUCAAUCUUUUUAUUAUCUUUCUUCUUUUGAACUUCCUGAAUGGAUGAUGACUGACACAUUGCUUCCUGGCUGAGAGGUCCAUGGUUCCCCUGUCCACAUGUAUAAGGGAACUGAUUGCUCAUCCCUUAGAAGGAAUGGCUUCAGUCUGCUUUAAACACUGGACCACACCCAAAAUCUCUACACUUCCUCUUGGUGUUUACAUGAAGACCCAAAACCGGUCCGUGGUUGCCCUGUCCCCAUGUGUAAGGAUCAAGGGAAGUGAUAACCUUCAUCCAGUACUAACGGAAGCAGAUGCAGAGAUCCACAGCUAAGCACUUUGUGGAGCUCCCGGAGUCCAGUUGAAGCAAAGGAGGAGAGAUUAUAUGAGCAAAGGGGACAAGAUCAUGAUGGGGAAUCCCACAGAGACCUGAGCUAAUGGGAGCUCACUGACUCUGGACUGACAA